rnacentral:rRNA from 1 species
CUGGCUCAGGAUGAACGCUAGCGGCAGGCUUAACACGAUGCAAGUCGAGGGGCAUCGGGAGUAGCAAUACUGCCGGCGACCGGCGCAAGGUGCGUAACGCGUGAGCAACAUGCCCGUAUCAGGGGGAUAAUCCAUGGAAACGUGGUCUAAUACCCCAUAGUAAUUAUGUAAGGCAUCUUAUAUAAUUUAAAGCUUUGGUGGAUACGGAUUGGCUCGCGUGACAUUAGCUAGAUGGUAAGGUAACGGCUUACCAUGGCUACGAUGUCUAGGGGUUCUGAGAGGAAGGUCCCCCACACUGGAACUGAGACACGGUCCAGACUCCUACGGGAGGCAGCAGUGAGGAAUAUUGGACAAUGGAUGGAAAUCUGAUCCAGCCAUGCCGCGUGCCAGGAAGACGGCCCUAUGGGUUGUAAACUGCUUUUGUAUGGGAGCAAUAAGGGCUACGCGUAGUCCGAUGAGAGUACCAUACGAAUAAGCACCGGCUAACUCCGUGCCAGCAGCCGC